rnacentral:tRNA from 1 species
GCAGUAGUGGUUUAGUGGUAGAAUUCUCACCUUUCACGUAGGAGACCUGGGUUCGAUUCCUGGCCGAUGCA